CUGGCUCAGGAUGAACGCUAGCGACAGGCUUAACACAUGCAAGUCGAGGGGCAGCACGGGAGUAGCAAUACAACUGGUGGCGACCGGCGCACGGGUGAGUAACGCGUAUGCAACCUACCUAUCAGAGGGGAAUAACCCGGCGAAAGUCGGACUAAUACCGCAUAAAACAGGGGCACCGCAUGGUGAUAUUUGUUAAAGAAAUUCGCUGAUAGAUGGGCAUGCGUUCCAUUAGGUAGUUGGUGAGGUAACGGCUCACCAAGCCGACGAUGGAUAGGGGAACUGAGAGGUUGGUCCCCCACACUGGUACUGAGACACGGACCAGACCCCUACGGGAGGCAGCAGUGAGGAAUAUUGGUCAAUGGGCGAGAGCCUGAACCAGCCAAGUCCGCGUGAAGGAAGAAGGAUCUAUGGUUCGUAAACUUCUUUUGCAGGGGAAUAAAGUGCGGGACGUGUCCUGUUUUGUAUGUACCCUGAGAAUAAGGAUCGGCUAACUCCGUGCCAGCCGCCGC
rnacentral:rRNA from 1 species